AAGGUUUCCGUAGGUGAACCUGCGGAAGGAUCAUUAUUGAAUGAACUUGGUGUGGUUGUCGCUGGCCCUCUUGGGGGYAUGUGCACACCUACCAUCCUCAUCUCUCCACCUGUGCACCUCUUGUAGRUUUGGAAUUGAUUAUCCGAGGCAACUCGGUCGUGAGGACUGCUAGCACUUAGCUGGCUUUCUUUGCAAUUCCAGGUCUAUGUUUUUCAUAUACCCCAUUGUAUGUAACAGAAUGUAUCAUUGGGCCCUUGUGCCUAUAAACCUUAUACAACUUUCAGCAACGGAUCUCUUGGCUCUCGCAUCGAUGAAGAACGCAGCGAAAUGCGAUAAGUAAUGUGAAUUGCAGAAUUCAGUGAAUCAUCGAAUCUUUGAACGCACCUUGCGCUCCUUGGUAUUCCGAGGAGCAUGCCUGUUUGAGUGUCAUUAAAUUCUCAACCAUUAUCAACUUUUGCUGAUAAUGGCUUGGAUGUGGGGGUCUAUUUUGCUGGCUUCUCAGAUAGUCAGCUCCCCUUAAAUGCAUUAGCCGGUGCCCCGCGUGGACUGUCUAUUGGUGUGAUAAUUAUCUACGCUAUAGACAUCUGCAAUCAUAUGGGUUUGCGCUGCUUCUAACAGUCUGUUGAUUCAGACAAUACAUGACAAUUUGACCUCAAAUCAGGUAGGACUACCCGCUGAACUUAA
rnacentral:rRNA from 1 species